UGGUUUUCUUUCUUUUUGGGCGUUUUGACUUGCCUCAGCCACUGUAUGUCUGUUAAACAUGCAAACAGCAAAGGACCCCAGACCUGAAAGACCUUCUGAGGAGUGGAUAUUGGCCAGCUUCAAUAAACAACACCACACUUUACACACUGGACCUCCUGAUCUCCUUUCAAGAACUCAAGGUCAUCUCUCCAAGAUUUUCCAGACAAGCCUUCGCAAAGCUGCUGGAGCAUCGCACGAAGUGUGGAGGAAGAUUUGGAUAUAUCAACGGCGAUGCACUGCAAUGCAGCUUCUUGGAGUUUUCAUACGCUUCAUUUGAAUCAGACCAGCUCUGGUGUGGUGCUCCUUUCACCUGCCCAGCCUGAACGCUAGAAUUGUUGGCUGCUUCAGCAGAUCGAAACAGAAAGCUAUAUCGCUUUUGCCGAAACAGAAGCUCUGGUGUUCCUGUUUUUUGUUUUCUUUUUUGAGGGGCCUUUUGUGGCUGAAGACAGUGCGGUGUCUAGAUUUGUCAACACCAUCCAAAAAGCACUGAAAAUGCAAUUUUAAUCAUAACUUGACAAAAUAGUUGUUACACAAAAAAAUCUUGUUCGGAGUUGAUUUCUACUUUUGCCUACCAAGUACUCCUAAAUCAAAUUAGGAAUAAAUGCCAUAUACUGUAUUGUAUGACACCAUCACUUUAAUUUGAUUUGUUGUGUUUGUUGUGUGUUUCAUAGACUGUGGCUUGCAAAUAUUGGCCAUUUGAAGAAAGUUGCUAGUGUCCUUCCUGAUCUUCAGGAGCUGACCUCAAUGAAACCUUUCCUUAAUGUUAUGCAUGCUUGAGCCACACAAAAAAGUUUGAGAUUAAAUGAAGUGGUAGGAACCAGGAAGGAACAAGGACAACCACCGGUGAGUGGAGCAAGUGAACAGCUACCUAUCACGUUGUGCCCGUACAACCAAAUAUAUGUCCAAAGCAGGGGUGGACAUGCUUACAUUGCAUGCAAUGGGCUGGAACCAUAAAAAGUAUCUCUCUACAUCAGCCACUUUCCACAAUAUAUGUGAAAACAUCCAGCACGAGACUGCAAGGCUAGCAGAACUAAAAACAAAGCUACAUCGCACAGAUAAAGGAACGUCACAAUGGCUUUCUGAUGUGAAAGAAUGGGUAGCUCGUGAGACAUCAGAAACAUCUCAUGCCAGUCAAGGCACCACACACAGAAAACUUCAGCAGUCAAUUGAGGGGCUUUAUCUUAGUGUGAUGCUGCGCAAGCAAACUCUCUACUGUCAGAAUGACAGCAGCAAGCUUUGCCAUCGCCUUCAAAGGAAGCUGGCAGAUGACAAAAGCUCCUUCUUCAGGAGAUACAGAACUACAAUGAUCUUGUACUAGACUCUGCCACAAACAUCAUUGACCUAGCUGUGGUGGAGCAUUCCCUCACUGGAGAGAGCAGUGUGUCUCAGAUAUGGCCGUGGGACCUUAAUGGCAGUGCAAACAUUUCAGUCAAGAAACGAUUGAAUGACCAAGUGAUGUUGACAAUGCGACUGCAUGAGGAAAGGGGCAUUGUGGUGUUGGAGAUGGCUCAACAAUACACAUGGUUGCAGAGCCUGGCAGUGGCUCUCAAGAACAAGAUGGCUGAGGAGGACAAGGGAAAUGAAGGACUUUGCUGUCUCUUAAGAAGAAGAUCGUCAGUGGUGUCAGAAGGGUUACAAGUCGUCCUUCAACAAUACAAGACUGCAUUAGGUCUUGAGGUCUCUGUCCUUCUACAUGUUGAAGAAGAAGAUCAAAGUGACCUCAGCAGUCCAGAUACCAGUGAGGAUGAAGAGGAAAACAUAAUUUAGAUAGAAACUGCACAAAGGACUGCGUUUAAGGAAAUGGACUUGGCAUAUAUCUGUGUAGUGUUAGUAUGCUAACUACAUUAUUAUCUGUAUGCAUCCUAUAUUGUUGAAAUGUUCAACCUGUGUCUAGAUUAUCAAGCAUGUCAUUUAGCACGUUGAUGCUCCUUAAAUAUGCACAAACAUCUCAAUAUAGGUGCAAGAAUCGUAUGAUAUUAUCAGAUGUAAUAAUUGAACUUAUGUUAUAUUUGGAUAGUGUAUUCAUAAUUUGUGUAUUUAAAGUUGCUAAUGGGCAUUGUUAGCCACAUCACAAACUCACUGUUAAAACACUGCUUAUUGUGCCUUAUUGUGUUUAUGUACUUGCAUUGGUGCAGUAAUAUUGAAUGCAGUAAGGUCAUUGGUGUGUUUUAGCUUUGAACACAUAACACAGAGCUCAACCAAUCAGAAUAAUCAUUGAUAAUGAAGUAAAAGUUUUAAACGGGUAAGUUGAUAUGAAAUAUUGUAAGCACAUUCAUCAGGAUGACUUUGCUGACCUUGUGACCUUUAUUACCACAUUUAGGCCAAAAUGUGAAAACUCUACUUGAUUGAGUGUAUUAUAGGAUAUAACUGUUGUGCACCAUUGAAGAUAAACAUCAUAAAUUCUUUCUUAAAGAUGGAUAAUUUGUUGGCAAUGUGUCUGUCACUAUUAAACACUAUAGUAUGCAAAAGAAAAA